GCCAGCCCGCUCAGAAACUACAAGGAAUUGACGGGGCCCGCACAAGCGGUGGAGUAUGUGGCUUAAUUCGAUGCAACGCGAAGAACCUUACCUGGUCUUGACAUCCCGGAGACCCUUAGGAAACUAGGGGUGCUUCCAUCUGGAAGAAUCUGGAGACAGGUGCUGCAUGGCUGUCGUCAGCUCGUGUCGUGAGAUGUUGGGUUAAGUCCCGCAACGAGCGCAACCCUUGCCUUUAGUUGCCAGCAGUUCGGCUGGGCACUCUAAAGGGACUGCCGGUGUUAAACCGGAGGAAGGUGGGGAUGACGUCAAGUCCUCAUGGCCUUUAUGACCAGGGCUACACACGUACUACAAUGGCCGAUACAAAGGGCAGCGACACUGCGAGGUGAAGCCAAUCCCGUAAAAUCGGUCUCAGUCCGGAUUGGAGUCUGCAACUCGACUCCAUGAAGUUGGAAUCGCUAGUAAUCGUGGAUCAGCAUGCCACGGUGAAUACGUUCCCGGGCCUU
rnacentral:rRNA from 1 species